rnacentral:tRNA from 1 species
UGGCUGAGUGGUAGAGCACAUGCCUUGCAUGCAUGAGGCCGUGGGUUCAAUUCCUC